GUCGAACGGCAGCACGGAGCUUGCUCUGGUGGCGAGUGGCGAACGGGUGAGUAAUAUAUCGGAACGUACCCUGGAGUGGGGGAUAACGUAGCGAAAGUUACGCUAAUACCGCAUACGAUCUAAGGAUGAAAGUGGGGGAUCGCAAGACCUCAUGCUCGUGGAGCGGCCGAUAUCUGAUUAGCUAGUUGGUAGGGUAAUAGCCUACCAAGGCAUCGAUCAGUAGCUGGUCUGAGAGGACGACCAGCCACACUGGAACUGAGACACGGUCCAGACUCCUACGGGAGGCAGCAGUGAGGAAUAUUGGGCAAUGCCCGAAAGGGUGACCCAGCAACGCCGCGUGGAGGAUGAAUGCCGUAAGGUUGUAAACUCCUGUUGGAGGGGAAGAAAAAUUCCGAUCAAAUCGGAAACUGACUGUACCCUCAGAGAAAGCCCCGGCUAACUACGUGCCAGCAGCCGCGGUAAU
rnacentral:rRNA from 1 species